rnacentral:rRNA from 1 species
UACGUAGGGUGCGAGCGUUAAUCGGAAUUACUGGGCGUAAAGCGUGCGCAGGCGGUUCGCUAAGACAGAUGCGAAAUCCCCGGGCUUAACCUGGGAACUGCAUUUGUGACUGGCGGGCUAGAGUAUGGCAGAGGGGGGUAGAAUUCCACGUGUAGCAGUGAAAUGCGUAGAGAUGUGGAGGAAUACCGAUGGCGAAGGCAGCCCCCUGGGCCAAUACUGACGCUCAUGCACGAAAGCGUGGGGAGCAAACAGG